GUCCUAGAUUUGGUGGAGGGCGUUAGGAGGAGCUCUUUGAGAGACGGUGAGCAGAAUUUUGAGUAUGGACAAGGACAACAAUCAACUUCACCAUGUGAGCAUUUGCCUCAGACGAACUGCAAGACGGAAACUUUACGAGAUCAAAAGGAAAUGCUUGUGGAGAAUUCAGUCUCAAGCUCUGUUCAAUUACAAGAACUGCAAGAAAAACUUGAUUUAUUGAAAGCAGCAGUUGAAAUGGCUUCUGAUCACAAACAUCCCAGUGACUUUUAUGUGAAUCAGCUAAACGAUCAGGUGGAAGUGAAAAGGGGCAAAAUUGUUGAAAUGGAAAGUCACUGCAUUGAUAGAAGCAAGGCCCUUGAGCAAAAGAAGGUUUCUCUUGAGGAAAAGUUAAGAGCAACAAAUCCAGAGACCUAUGAAAA
rnacentral:misc_RNA from 1 species